rnacentral:rRNA from 1 species
CCUACGGGUGGCAGCAGUGAGGAAUAUUGGUCAAUGGCCGAGAGGCUGAACCAGCCAAGUCGCGUGAGGGAUGACGGCCCUACGGGUUGUAAACCUCUUUUGUCGGGGAGCAAAGCGAGUCACGUGUGCCUCAUUGCGAGUACCCGAAGAAAAAGCAUCGGCUAACUCCGUGCCAGCAGCCGCGGUAAUACGGAGGAUGCGAGCGUUAUCCGGAUUUAUUGGGUUUAAAGGGUGCGCAGGCGGUGGUGAAAGUCAGCGGUCAAAUUGCGGGGCUAAACCCCGUAAUGCCGUUGAAACUGGAUCCCUUGAGUGCACUAGAGGUAUGCGGAAUUCGUGGUGUAGCGGUGAAAUGCUUAGAUAUCACGCAGAACUCCGAUUGCGAAGGCAGCAUACCGGCGCGCAACUGACGCUCAUGCACGAAAGUGUGGGUAUCGAACAGGAUUAGAUACCCGGGUAGUC